rnacentral:rRNA from 1 species
UCUUUCGGGAGAGAUGAGAGUGGCGCACGGGUGCGUAACGCGUAUGCAACCUACCCUUGACAGGGGGAUAGCCCGAAGAAAUUCGGAUUAACACCCCAUAGUAUUAUUGGAAGGCAUCUUUUGAUAAUUAAGACUAAGGUGGUCAAGGAUGGGCAUGCGUCCUAUUAGCUAGUUGGUGAGGUAAAGGCUCACCAAGGCGACGAUAGGUAGGGGGCCUGAGAGGGUGAUCCCCCACACUGGUACUGAGACACGGACCAGACUCCUACGGGAGGCAGCAGUGAGGAAUAUUGGUCAAUGGACGCAAGUCUGAACCAGCCAUGCCGCGUGCAGGAUGACGGCCCUAUGGGUUGUAAACUGCUUUUGUACGGGAAUAAACCAUUGCUCGUGAGCGAUGCUGAAGGUACCGUAAGAAUAAGGAUCGGCUAACUCCGUGCCAGCAGCCGCGGUAAUACGGAGGAUCCAAGCGUUAUCCGGAUUUAUUGGGUUUAAAGGGUCCGUAGGCGGAUAAUUAAGUCAGAGGUGAAAUCCUGCAGCUCAACUGUAGCAUUGCCUUUGAUACUGGUUAUCUUGAGUAUGAUUGAAGUGGGCGGAAUGUGUCAUGUAGCGGUGAAAUGCAUAGAUAUGACACAGAACACCGAUUGCGAAGGCAGCUCACUAAGUCAUAACUGACGCUGAUGGACGAAAGCGUGGGUAGCAAACAGGAUUAGAUACCCUGGUAGUCCACGCUGUAAACGAUGAUCACUCGCUGUUGGCGAUAUACAGUCAGCGGCCAAGCGAAAGCAUUAAGUGAUCCACCUGGGGAGUACGUUCGCAAGAAUGAAACUCAAAGGAAUUGACGGGGGCCCGCACAAGCGGUGGAGCAUGUGGUUUAAUUCGACGCAACGCGAAGAACCUUACCUACUCUUGACAUCCACGGAAGACUGCAGAGAUGCGGUUGUGCCUUCGGGAACCGUGAGACAGGUGCUGC